rnacentral:lncRNA from 1 species
AUGGAUGAUGCAACGGAGCCCUGGGCUGACAGCCCUGUUUGCUCCGGUCCUGGGCGGCAGCGACCACAUGCUGGACAGCGGCCAGCGCGCGGCCAGCGCGCGGCCAGGUGGUCAGGUCGCCCUAGCCCAGCUCACGCGCUGGCAUCCCACCGUCUGGGCGCUGGGCCCACGACGGCCCCUGGGCAGGGCUGGGCCCUGCAGACUGUCCGUCGGGGGCACCCGGGCCCCCCAUCGCGGCCAGGCAGCGCUGUCCGCACGAGUCCCCCGCCUAGAGCCGGGCGAUGCAGGGGGCGGGGCGGGGCAUGUCUAGGAGGCGGUCCCCCCACCUCUGGGAGUGGGUGUUUCCGGCAUCCAGUCAGGCCUUUGAGGAAACGCCUGAGGCUCCCGCGGGCCAAAGGGCUCAGCGAGCAGCCGGGAGUUCCCGCUGGACUCCGCGGUCAGAGAGUGCGGUGCGCACGCGGCGUCCCCCGGGGAGACGCGCGGACAGACUCCCUCGGACCCCCACCCGUAACAGGAGAGAGGGGACACUCAGACCCUGGCCGGAGGCGCUCCCAGCUUCGUAGCUGCUCAGCCGGGCGCUUCAUCCUGGGAGCCUAUACUGUCUCGUUUCCUGCAGCAACACCCACCAGAGGACAGAGCGCCUCAGGGCGUGAAGGAGAUCUCCCGGCUCGGCCUCCGAUGGGCGGGCAAGUGAGCUCGGCCGGCUCCUUCCGCGGCCUGCCCUGCGCCUCCAAGGCGAACGCGGACUGGAUGUCGGCGCUGAGCUCUCGACUCUGGGACGUGCCACUGCACCAGCUCUCCAUCCCAGGGAGUCACGACACGAUGACCUACUGCCUGAACAAGAAGUCGCCCAUCUCCAGCCAGGAGCCGAGGCUGCUGCAGCUUCUGCGCAAAGUGCUGCCGUGCGUCACCCUGCCCGUGGUGCUCAAGUGGUCCACCACACAGGUGCUGAGCGUCACUGAGCAGCUGGACGCGGGCGUGCGGUACCUGGACCUGCGGAUCGCACACAUGGAGGAGGGCUCCGAGAGGAACCUGCACUUCGUCCACAUGGUGUACACGACGGCCCUCGUGGAGGACACGCUCACGGAGAUCUCCGAGUGGCUGGAGGGCCACCCCCGGGAGGUGGUCAUCCUGGCGUGCAGGAACUUCGAGGGCAUGACGGAGGGCCUGCACGAGUACCUGGUGGGCUGCAUCAAGAACAUCUUUGGGGACAUGCUGUGUCCCCGCGGGGAGGUGCCGACUCUGCGCCAGCUGUGGUCACGGGGCCAGCAGGUCAUCCUGUCGUACGAGGACGAGGCGGCCGUGAGCCGGCACGUGGAGCUGUGGCCCGGGAUCCCCUACUGGUGGGGGAACAAGGUGAAGCCCCAGGACCUCGUCCACUACCUGGAGCGCAUGAAGAGCUGCGGCCGCCCAGGCGGGCUGUUCGUGGCCGGCAUCAACCUCACGGAGAACCUGGAGUUCAUCCUCGUCCACCCGGCCUGGUCGCUGCAGAAGCUGACCCUCUCGGGGCUCCCCUACCUGUGCGCGUGGGUGCGGGCCCAGUGCCCGGGGUCGGCCGCCGGCUGCACCAACAUCAUCGCGGGCGACUUCAUCGGGGCCAGCGGGUUUGUCAGCGACGUCAUUGGGCUGAACCGGAAGCUGCUUCGGGGCUGACGGGCGGAGCCGGGCAUCCCGGGGGCUGCUCCUCGGGCGCGUCUUGUGACGUCACCGGGCUGAACCGGAAGCCGCCUGGGGCUGACGGACAGCACGUGGGCGGAGCCGGGCAUCCCGGGGGCUGCUCCUCGGGCGCGUCCUGUGACGUCACAGGGCUGAACCGGAAGCCGCCUGGGGCUGACAGACGGCGCGCUGAGGAGCUGGGCAUCGCCGAGGCUGUUGUCAGUCCUGUCCUGCGGGGCUGGCAGUCCAUCCAUCCAUCCACGGAAUGUGGGUGGCUACAGAGGUGGGGCCGGGUGGCAGGGUCCUUGCGCUCCUCGGUCCUCCGUGUCUCUCAGCGGAUGUAGGGUGUGAGGUGAUGAUUAAAGGCGACUCGUGAUUAGUACAAUCGCAUCUUCCAAGGAGACUCCUGGGUCUGUCUGUGGAUUCCCCAUGGGAGAGGCUGGGGAACCCCCUCCCCCUGGGCGCUGAGAGCGGCCGACACAACCCCCAGCUGGGUCGAGGGGGUGGGGGGGCAGUAUGACACACUGCCCGUAGGGGGCACUGAGCGCAUAGCGAUCCCACUGAGAAAUCCCUUUUAUUAGAUGAGGGGCUGCCCUGGUGGCUCACCUAAGAAGGCCUUCCUAUCUCUCCCUGCUAUUCUUUGGAACUCUGCAUUCAGGUGGCUGUAUCUUUCCAUGUCUCCUUUGCCUGUCUCUUCUCAGCAAUUUGUAAGGCCUCCUCAGACAACCAGUUUGCCUUUUUGCAUUUAUUUUUCUUGUGGGUGCUUCUGAUCACCACCUCCUGUGCAGUGUUAGGAACCUGGGGCCAUAGGUCUGGUACUCUGUGUGCACGAUCUACCCCUUGAAUCUAUUUGUCACUUCCACUGUAUAAUCACAAGGGAUUUGAAUAAAGCAAAGAAACAGGAAAACA